UUUCAAAAAGAAAUGAAACAGAAAAGAAAAAAAAUUGCCAGACAAGAUGAAAACUACAGAAAACAUGAGUCCGAACGAGACUUCCACAGAAAACAAGAAUAUAGGUCACAUCCAGAAAAUUUAGAAAAUGAGCGUUUGAAGAAACAGAGUUCUAGACAGAACAAACUAGAUAUAGACAGAUGUUAUGAUAAAACAGUUAAAAGUACUAAAAGAAAAAACAUUGAUUUCACAGAUCAUGAAAAAAACCUAAAAAAAAAAAGAGUUCAAGGUAUAACCCUUGAUGCUUGCAUAAGAAAUUUUAAAACAAAAAUUAAUCAUGGUCCUACAUAUAUAUGUACUUCAUGUCAACAAACUUGGUUUUGUGAUUCUGUAGUUAAUUCUAAAACUGUCAAAAUGA
rnacentral:lncRNA from 1 species